rnacentral:lncRNA from 1 species
CAUCAUAUGUGACAAUAUUUUUAAAACCUCCAAACGAUAAUCUGACUACUUUCAAUAUGAAUCAGCAUUUAAAAAAUCUUCUUUGCUACACUUCUCAAUGAAUAACAACAGACAAUCACAUUGAAAGUGUGUGUGUCUGGUCAUGUUUUCAUUUGCAAUGUCUUUCUUUUAUAUUUAUUGUUAGUAGUUAUAAAUUAGAAGUGCUUUAGAGGACUGAAUAUAUCCAGCUUUAUUUACAUCACUCAGAACUAUUUUUCCAGGUAGCUCUUUUGGAAAAAUAAAGAUAGACAUUAAAAACUUUUAAAAUGUAGAUACAUAGGAUAUGUUAGCUUUUAAUGCCAAUUCUUGCUUUUCAAAAUAGCAUUACUGUCAGCUCAUUUUAAAAGUUUCACAUAUAUAUUGGGGCUGGCCCCGUGGCCGAGUGGUUAAGUUCGUGCACUCCACUUCAGCAGCCCAGGUUUGCAGGUUUGGAUCCUGGGCAUGGACCUACGUCACUCAUUAGCCAUGCUGUGAUGUCAACCCACAUACAAAAUAGAGGAAGAUUGGCACAGAUGUUAGCUCAGGGCAAAUCUUCCUCAGCAAAAAAGAAAAAGGACUAAAGAAAAAACAAAUGGUAUUGUAAUGGGGCUGGAUGAUAAAAUGCAGGACACCACUUAAAUUAAAUUUCAGAUAAACAACCAAUAACUUUUUAAUAUAAACAUUUAUAUGUAUUUGUAUUUCUCAUACAAAGAAAGCCAAUCAGUGGAUACAGUUUUCUAGAGUAAUGCUAAAUGUGGUAAUCAGCAUUCUCGGUACAAGAAACUUUUUCCAUAACACUCUUGGCAGUUGCAUUGAGGCAUUUUGUGAAGUUUCAAAGUAUUUGGAUAGUCUUUAUUUCUUCUUUAAUUAGAAAUUUUAUUUUUCAGACUUAAAUUUUUGUGUAAGAAUUGAUGGGGAGAAGAAAAUGCCACUCCAAAUUUUGCAACUUUUACAUGUGGAUUGUUUUUAGGUGAAGGCACUUAAGACCCAGGAGAUUCAGCAAAAGCUCUUUAUUUCUCCCUUAACUGCCUAAAAGAGUUUAGAUAGAGGGCCUAUACUAGGAAGAG